rnacentral:lncRNA from 14 species
CUUGAGGGAAAGAACUAGGCUUUUACUCAAGCACAUUAAGUGGAUGGAACAGAGUGGCUGCCACUAGACAACAUGGAGACUUCGAAACGGCAAAGAUUUUCAUCACUGAUCAGUAAGCAGCUGCCAGAACAUUAGAAGCAAAUCAACAAGUUCGUGAU